CUCACAGCGAGGAUGUGAAAAUAAAUUCUUGAAUGAGAAUGAAGCUCUCAGGUUUGCCUUGAUUGUUCAGGUCCAGUUGAGGUCUACAGAACAAGCCAAAGCCCACGCCAGAAGUCAGUGGCAGAAGGCUCAACCGCUAGGAUUAAAAUUUCUGUCUCCAGCUCUUUUUGAAUGGUUUGAGCAUGACCUUUCUGACAGGAGCGUAGACAGCCAGGUACUUGCUGCAUGGGGAAUGGGGAUCUCCUGCUUAAUGGAAAUGCUGAAAUCUAGCCCGUGUGUGCGUGGGGAGAUGCUUGAGGGUUUCCAAGGAACCAACCCAGAUGGGGGACGGUGGGCACUGCCCUGCGGUACCCCACGCCGUGGGCUGCAAAGGGUCACUGGAGUCACCGGGAUGGGAUGGUGCCGAUACGCCCACGCUGCGCUGUAUCACCUGGGGUUGGGAUGUCCCCGGCCGUCCCUGAGCGUCCCCGUGAAGCACAUCAGCUGCUCAGAGAAGAAGAGAUAAGGAACUGGAUAAAGACUGAACUCAUGCCAGCUGAGAUCAGUACCCUUCAGAAAGUGGUGUCUGAGACCUUGCUGAGAUAUAGAGUCCACAACACCUAGCUCUGGAAAAGCACAGUCUGGAUUUGAGAAGAUCUUGCAGGGGUUGGUAGAAGACAGUGGAAAAUGGACUUCAGUUUCUCUAAACCUGUAUUAUGCUCUUACAGGGAAAAUAAGACUGCAGUGACAAAGUCCUGGAGAAGGGCUUUUCCUGCACCACCUUUGGGGGCCCAAGGGGGUCUUCCACCACCGACACGUUUGUUAGGUAUGACAAAGGGGAACGUGACACACUCUGGCAUGCCAACUGCAUUGCUUAUGUGCUGCUUCAAAGAAAUUGAGGGCUGUUAUGAAGCUGUAUGUAUGUAUAAAGAAAUUAAUCAGUGUUUAUAGAUGUAGAAAUAGAUUUCUGCUAGUUAUUUCUGAUAAACCUGGAAUUGCUCAGCAGGUUUAUACUGUUAUUCAUAAAUAAUGUAGGGGAAAAAGGAUGUCACUGUAAAGUCAUUCAGACAAAACUUUCAAUCCGGUCCUGUCACUCGUGGUUGUAUGCUUCAACCAUUUAUCUAGUGGGCAGUUACAACGGACACUCUGCCAAAGGAGAAAUGCCCAGAACUGCCCCUGGGAAGGAGGCACCCCUGCAGCAGCCCGGGCUGGGGGGACAGGCUGGGGAGCAGACCUCUGGGGCCUCGGUGGGCAACCCUGUGCCCUGGCACCAAGGAUGGCCAGCAGCCUCCCGGGCUGCACAGACAGGGGCACAGCCGGUAGAUUGAGGGACGUGGAUUAUCAGACCACAUCCAGAAUACUGGAUCCAGUUGUCCCCAGCACUGACCCAGCACAAGAAGGACCUCAGUAAGCUGCAGACAGGUCAGUGGAGGAGCCCCAGGCUGGUUAGGGGCUGGAGCACUUGCGUGGUGAGGAAAGGAUGACCAUGCACGAGUGAAGAACUCUCCAGAGAUGAGAAGUUCUCACCCCAGCCCAUGUUCACAUUAUGUAGUUUUAUUGGUUUAGCCAGCGGGGGAAGUCCUUCUACCCACUGUCUCCAUUGUCAUGUCUGUUUGCUCUAGUGGUAACAGAAGCUAUUUCUGCUUAGCUGAGUUGCAGGUUAUUCGCCCGUUAUCCAAUUGAUAAUGAGUUGUGAAGGCCACGAAGAGUUUAUUUUGAUUAAAAGAAAACUGGACUUUUAACAGAAAACUGCUUUUCUGAAGCAACAUAAUUUCCCUCUGAGCUGUUUUCCUUCCAGAGGCUGGGGUUGGCUGACAGACUGAGAGGUCCUGUGAUGGGGACUGUUGGCUUCAAGCAAAAUCAUGCCUUAACCUGUCCAUUCUUGCAACCUUGUUGCAUUCUCAUUUCAAAAGCAAGGACAACCUAUACACCUAAGCCUUCAAGUUUUUCAGCCUCCGUCAAUGUGGCACAGAGAAGGCUAAAAUUUUCCAAAGGGGAGAAGACAACUGAAUGAGGUCUCGUAUAUGUUAGCUGUACAGUCUAAUUCUGAAUUCUUGUAUAAAUAAGAGAAGCAUUGGUGCCCUACACACUUUAAUGAGUGACAUCUGCUCAGUUUUAGAAAGAAUGCAUCCAGACCUUCUCCUUGAGGCCUGAGUGUCUCCAGGAAAGCACCACGAUCACCAUGAUGUGUAAUCCGCCAGGACUUGUGUCCUCUUCUGGUUGUAGACCAAAGCCAUCCUAGUCCUGGGAGAUGAAGGCUUUCAGCAUUUUAUGGGUACAGACCCUAAAGUUUGUAAUGGAAGAACCAACUAGAAGACUUACUAAAGGUGGAAUAACUCAUCUAUGUCUAAUCUUUAUUGAACCUUACUGAAUUUUUAAAUAACUCGGCACUUUUUGGUUAUUAGGACGCUGUAUUCUACAGGUAUUCAGAGGCUGUGGUUUGCCUAUUAAUACUUUUCUGCUGUCAAGCCAGCAAGAAUAGUCAUUAGUUUCAUGUUAUGAUGUACUUUCUUAAAAUCCGUACUGAAGCUGAAUAAUCUUGUAAUGAGCUGGUACUGCUACACUCUUUGGUGAAACUUUGUGAAUUACCUGCAUCCCUUACUUCUCAUGUGCUUCAUACUCUAAGCAGCCUUGAUCAGACUGUGAGAUGAUGCAGCUCAUAGACUUCCAUUCCAAUUCAGUAUUUAAGGAACAAAAUUGCCACCAAAUAUAACUGGACAAUUAGGGUUUCUGAAGGAAAAUGUAAGGGACUGACAGCUGGAUCUCACUUUAUAAGUGCUGUUUUUCUAAUAUUAAGCACUUACAGUGCAGGCCAGUAUGGAAAUUGAGAGUCUUUUAUUUUUCAGGCUCCAGGUGGAGAAAAGAAUUGCUAAGUUUCCUGGCGAUAUUACCAGGGACUGGUGGAAGAUAGUACACAUUGCACUUUGAUUUCUUUAAGCCUACCACAAACUCUUACACAUGACAGGGCUUAAAAAAGACAAGUGCUAGGAAGAAGCCCUCUGGAGAUCAUCUCUUUAGUUACUAGUGUGUGAAAGAAGAGGUCAAGUUUAUUCUUGUGGCUCUAAAACUGACUGUUUUACUAGAGGGAAAGGCAACAUCAAAAUUGUUCAGCCAUUUAUAAUGCUAGUCAGAUGGAUCUAUGCAACUUUCUGUGGUACUGCAGUUCAGUAAAGGUCACUGAGGUGCUGGUUUAAAGGAGCCCCAUCUCCAUACUUGUCAUGGUUUAACCCCAGCCAGCAACUAAGCACCACACAGCCGCUCACUCACUCCCCC